UAACUGGGCUACGAAAUAUAGU
rnacentral:siRNA from 1 species